rnacentral:lncRNA from 1 species
UCUGCGAAUCAAAGGAGAAGCGUCCUUCUCUCACCCUCUCACCCCGCUCCGCUGGCUAGCCAAGCACGGAACCCGCCAGGCUCUGGCCAACCGGCUCACAUGGCCCGGAGCCCAGAGGCUCGCUGAGGCGGCUUCUCUUUACUUUAAACAGGGGGCCUCAUAAGACCUGUUGAGGGGCCCUGCAACACUGUAUACAGAAUCGCCUAUUUAAGAUGGCAAAGUACCCGUGGAGACACUGAUGAAAACUAUGGACUUUCUCCAGAAAAAUACACCCAAAAUACAAUUUUGAGACCAGCAUCCAGGCUCUGAAGACCUGUGACAGCCAUCCAUGGAGUCAUGUUAAGAACCUCCACUCCAACUAACCCAAAGCUCACAGCCCUGGAGGAGAAGAAGCCUGUUUGGGGAAUUCUACCUUGGCUCCAUGUCUCUGAAGAGGCUUGUCCCAGGGAAUAUAAUGGGAUCCUCGCUCACACACAACCCAACAGCCGACCCACAAUGGCACACCUCCCAGUUAUUGCCUUAGUCCGGCAAACCCCUGGCUAAGCAUCCACAGCCGAGCUGAGGGCAGUGAGAAAAGUUCAAGUCGCCAGCUGAAGUGGUCUUUAACACCCCCCCCCCGGCCUUCUCAGCCUCACUGUUUAUCCAUAUGAAGCGCUCUCCUUCCCGGCCCACUUCCACCCCCACCUUUCUGAGAUCGGCUAUAAAAAUAAACUAUUUUUCCUUGUUAA